GCCAAAAGAGCUUGGCCAGCAAAGCUUCCAUUAUUGGUGCCUCUUGCUCAUCAUAGCUCUUGGCCAGCAAAUCUUCAGUUUCUACACCUAUAAUUAAACAUACUGGUGGGCCCCUCUUGUGGCUUUGGUGGACUGGAGUGGCUGGGAGGAAGAGUCGGAGGCAGAGUCAUCGGAUGCCAUUUUGAGGCUGGGAAUGUAAUCCUGAAGCAUAUCAGCCACGUCCUUGAAGCGCCUGAGAUAGAGCAGAGACCUGGCUUUGAGUUCAAGGGCUUGUUCCAGGCGAGGCGAGAUGGCCAGAGCCGCGUCCAGGAGCCCCACAGCCGAAGCGAUCUCGCUCUGUUCAUGAGUCGCAAUCAGGCUUCUGGCAUCUCUCAUAUACUUUUCCACAAUCUUUCUACUGCUAAGCCACCAGUGCUUCUUCUCAUCGGAAGACAGACAAGGAGAAGUAGCAGUCAUUCUUCUUCUUCUUCUUCUUGUUCCAGAAAUUCAGUAACAAGAAGGGCCAGAAGGAAAGCUGUGCCCAUGAAGUCUGUGACAUUGUUGGCCGCUUUGGAUGGAGAUAAAUGCAUAUACUUUGAUAAGUAAAGCACCAAAUUGCUUGCAUUUGCCAGAUAUGCCAAGUUCUCCAAUAUCUCCGCCACCAAGACAAAGGAGGCGGCAAGCAUGCCACCAUGGCGGCCUCUGAUUGCAGCUCUGUUCCUCCAGUCAACAUAGCCUUCCCAUCUGGUGCUCAGCUGCUGUUCUUGUUCCAUUUUCUCUGUCUCUUUUUUUUUUUUUUUUUUUUCACUUGGGUUCUAAUUAAUUUGGAUCCUUCGGUGGCAGAGGAUUUUGAUUUCUGGGUUUCAUCAGAGAAUUCAGCUGGUAUUGUUAAAGCGAAUUCGUGCUGAUAACGUGUUAUAAAUCUAGAGGAAAUUGUAGAGAGGGAAUUAAGAUAUAGAGAAAGUAUAGAAACUGAUCUCUUUAUUGAAGGUUUUUGUUCCCAGUUACAAGUGAGGGGAAAGCCUUAUUUGUAGGCAAAACAUUG